rnacentral:rRNA from 1 species
GAUGAACGCUGGCGGCGUGCCUAAUACAUGCAAGUCGAGCGAACAGACGAGGCGCUUGCUCCUCUGACGUUAGCGGCGGACGGGUGAGUAACACGUGGAUAACCUACCUAUAAGACUGGGAUAACUUCGGGAAACCUGAGCUAAUACCGGAUAAUAUAUUGAACCUCAUGGUUCAAUAGUGAAAGACGGUUUUGCUGUCACUUAUAGAUGGAUCCGCGCCGCAUUAGCUAGUUGGUAAGGUAACGGCUUACCAAGGCAACGAUGCGUAGCCGACCUGAGAGGGGGAUCGGCCACACUGGAACUGAGACACGGUCCAGACUCCUACGGGAGGCAGCAGUAGGGAAUCUUCCGCAAUGGGCGAAAGCCUGACGGAGAAACGCCGCGUGAGUGAUGAAGGUCUUCGGAUCGUAAAACUCUGUUAGUAGGGAAGAACAAAUGUGUAAGUAACUAUGCACGUCUUGACGGUACCUAAUCAGAAAGCCACGGCUAACUACGUG